rnacentral:rRNA from 1 species
GACGUAGGAGGCGAGCGUUAUCCGGAUUCACUGGGCGUAAAGCGCAUGUAGGCGGUUGUCUAAGUCGUGUGUUAAAGCCCCUGGCUCAACUGGGGGAGGUCAUGCGAGACUGGAUGACUUGAGGGCAACAGAGGCACGUGGAACUCCCGGUGUAGCGGUGGAAUGCGUAGAGAUCGGGAAGAACACCCGUGGCGAAGGCGGCGUGCUGGGUUGCAACUGACGCUGAGAUGCGAAAGUGUGGGGAGCAAACGGG